UACGAGGGGGGCGAGCGUUGUUCGGAUUCACUGGGCGUAAAGGGUGCGUAGGUGGUCAGGUAAGUCUGAUGUGAAAGCUCUGGGCUCAACCCAGAAAUGGCAUUGGAUACUAUCUGGCUAGAGGAAUGGAGGGGGGACUGGAAUACUUGGUGUAGCAGUGAAAUGCGUAGAUAUCAAGUGGAACACCAGUGGCGAAGGCGAGUCCCUGGACAUUUCCUGACACUGAGGCACGAAAGCUAGGGGAGCAAACAGG
rnacentral:rRNA from 1 species